GCGUGGAGACAGGUGGUGCAUGGCUGUCGUCAGCUCGUGUCGUGAGAUGUUGGGUUAAGUCCCGCAACGAGCGCAACCCUCACCCCUAGUUGCCACCGGGUAAAGCCGAGCACUCGAGGGGAACUGCCAGCGUCAAGCUGGAGGAAGGCGGGGAUGACGUCAAGUCAUCAUGGCCCUUACGCCCUGGGCUACACACGUGCUACAAUGGCCGGUACAAAGGGACGCGAGACUGCAAAGUGGAGCUAAUCCCAAAAAACCGGUCUAAGUUCAGAUUGCAGUCUGCAACUCGACUGCAUGAAGGAGGAAUCGCUAGUAAUCGCGCAUCAGCACGGCGCGGUGAAUACGUUCCCGGGCCUUGUACACACCGCCCGUCACACCACGAAAGCUGUCUGUACUCGAAGUCGCUGAG
rnacentral:rRNA from 1 species